CAGCCAAAUCACACUGAAACACCAAUUCCAAUAUGAUCACAGAAGUUAAGCAAUGUUGAGCCUGGUCAGUACCUAGAUUGGUGACCACUUGGGAAUAUGAGGUGCUGAA